GAAUGGAACCAUUCGUCCUUCAAAAUGAUCCGGCAAGAAAAUUUGUGUAUUUUGGAGAAGUUAAUGUCUCCAGAAAUAAGGACG
rnacentral:rRNA from 1 species